UACGGAGGGUGCAAGCAUUAAUCGGAAUUAUUGGGCGUAAAGGGCGCGUAGGCGGAGAUAUAAGUCAGAUGUGAAAUUCCGGAACUCAAUUUCGGAGCUGCAUUUGAAACUAUAUUUCUCGAGGGUUGGCGGAGAGAACGGAAUUCCACGUGUAGCGGUGAAAUGCGUAGAUAUGUGGAAGAACACCGGUGGCGAAAGCGGUUCUCUAGCUUAUACCUGACGCUGAGGCGCGAGAGCAAGGGGAGCAAACAGG
rnacentral:rRNA from 1 species